CAGACAGGAUCUUAGCAUCUGAAUUUUACCUUGGGCUUAGGUUCUGAACUUAAGACAGCAGAUGUGGGGUGAAGUAUUAUUGCACUGCUCUAAAUCCUGGUAAAUGUCUGGCACUUGGGAGCUGCAACCUUGGGGUCGAGGGAAGAUUGUUAACCAACUCUUCAGUACUGCUACAUUACACAUUUCCAAAUUGUUGAAAAAUCUGAUGGAAAUGAAGGUUCUUCAGACCUGUUGAUGGCAUAUUGAAUUAAUGUGAGGGAUGGGGAGGAACACCCUGAAUUGAUUGACCAUCGUGAACCUUCUCCAUGAGGAUCUCAUUAUGAAGUAGGGUUUGAAAAUAAUUUGCAAAGCCAUCAGGGCUGACAAAUCCACCUUGCUUAAAAAACAUUUUCACUGAGAAGGAGGAGUGAACGUUUAAAUAGUGCCUCCCAUGGGCCAGGUACUGUGCUAGCAACUUUUUACAAGUAUCUCAUAUGAGCCUCACAACAACUCUAUUACAUGUAGAUACAGUUUUAAUAAUCAGUGAUCUAUGUUCUCUCCCUUCAUCUCUCUCAUCCCUAAGAAGGGAGAGUCAAAAAGUUGCCCAAGUUUUUCUUCCUGUCACAACACUAAAGAGGAUAAAGACAUCUCUGUGUUAUACCAAAAAUAUCUUCAAGAAAAUAAAUGAGUAUUUGGAUGCUCAUUGCUUUAAGAUAUGGUACAUAUUGGGAAAUGAUCAUGAGGUAAAAACUAAAAAAGUCAAUAAAAUUCAUAUUUUCAGGCAAGUAUUGACCUGACCUCUUCUUCAGAAUCAAGCUUCACCUCACAAGUGCUUCUGUCUAGAGUGAGAUAUAAAUCUUCUUGGUUGAAAGAGUCAUAAUGAGGCACCUUCCAGGCUAAAGUUUUAAC
rnacentral:lncRNA from 1 species